rnacentral:lncRNA from 1 species
CCUCCUCCUCCAUGCUUCACGGUGGGAACCACACAUGCGGAGAUCAUCGGUUCACCUACUCUGCAUCUCACAAAGACACGGUGGUUGGAACCAAAAAUCUCAAAUUUGGACUCAUCAGACCAAAGGAAAAAUGUCCACCGGUCUUUACGUCCAUUGCUCGUGUUUCUUGGCCCAAGCAAGUCUCUUCUUCUUAUUGGUGUCCUUUAGUAGUGGUUUCUUUGCAGCAAUUCCAUCAUGAAGGCCUGAUUCACGCAGUCUCCUCUGAACACUUUCCAAUUUAUUGUUAUUGGUUUUUGUUUUUAAAUCUUCUGUUUGUUACGUAGUAAAUAUUUAUGUUUUUAUUUUCAUUUGUUUUUCCCCCUUAAAGUGCAUUGUGUUGCAUUCAUGUCUGAAAUGUGCUAUAUAAAUAAAUCUUGAUUUGGCUGAGCAUGCCGGUGGAGGCAGAUGUCAUCGGUGUGACACUGAGCCAUUCCGACCCGGAGACACAGUAUGAAGGUCUGAAGGAAGAGCUCAUCGUGCCCAAGAGGAACCAGGAGGAGAAGCCGGCCCUGGCGAGGACCCAGGUGGUCGGCCAUGCGAAGGCAUCCCUGGACGCUGUCCCCUUCCCAGGACGCUGAACGUGGCCACCAAGGACAUCAGGGAGCACUAUGAGUCUGUGACCUCCUAGAACUGGGAAGUCUGAUUAUAGAACAAGCUGGUUACUGUAGAGAUUGAAGUUGUGACCAACAAUGAAGAGCUUCUGUACAUCUUUCUUUCUUCCCCUCCAUCAGUCCCUCCUCUCCUCCCACAGUCAGCGGUGAUGGAUGACCGGUUUCUACAGUCUCUUGUCUCCCUGCUGGGCUGUCUCAGCCAACUCUUUCUCCUUAUCGAGGUUGUUCUCUUAUCCCUCCAUCUCCUUCAUAGUGAUAGUAUUACUGAUGUUUUCAUAUUAUGCAUUUUAUUUAUUUUUUUUACAUUUAGUUUCAUGAAAACAUUUCUCCAUGUUGAUUAUGGUUGUUUAAUGGUUGUUUAAUGGUUGUUUAAUGGUUGUGUUUAUGGUUGUUUUAUGGUUGUUUAAUGGUUGUUUUAUGGUUGUUUUAUGGUUGUGUUAUGGUUGUUUAAUGGUUGUUUAAUGGUUGUUUAAUGGUUGUGGUUAUGGUUUUGUUUGGACCUGAGGGAACGCAGCCAGGCCAUUCUGGAGCUGAAGGAUCUGAAACUGAGAGGGUAGAGGGAAAAUGAGGAGGCUGCCAGGUGAGUCACACACACACUGAACACAAUGUCAUACUGCUGUCGUACCAGACUGAUUACAGGGUAAAGACCAGCGGCCAGGUAAACAACAGGGCUGCUGUCGUACCAGACUGAUUACAGGGUAAAGACC